rnacentral:misc_RNA from 1 species
UGUAAGCCGGAUAAACCCUUUCCU